UACGUAGGGGGCAAGCGUUUGUCCGGAUUUAUUGGGCGUAAAGAGCGUGUAGGCGGCCUUACAGGUCAGCUGUGAAAACUCGAGGCUCAACCUCGAGAGGUCGGUGGAAACCGUCUGGCUAGAGUCCGGAAGAGGAGAGUGGAAUUCCCGGUGUAGCGGUGAAAUGCGCAGAUAUCGGGAAGAACACCCGUGGCGAAGGCGGCUCUCUGGGACGGUACUGACGCUGAGACGCGAAAGCGUGGGGAGCGAACAGG
rnacentral:rRNA from 1 species